rnacentral:rRNA from 1 species
UACAGAGGUCCCCAAGCGUUGUUCGGAUUCACUGGGCGUAAAGGGUGCGUAGGUGGUCGGGUAAGUCUGAUGUGAAAUCUCCGAGCUCAACUCGGAAACUGCAUCGGAUACUAUUCGGCUUGAGGGUUGAGGGGGACUGAUACUGGUGUAGCAGUGAAAUGCGUAGAUAUCAAGUGGAACACCAGUGGCGAAGGCGAGUCCCUGGACAACUCCUGACACUGAGGCACGAAAGCUAGGGGAGCAAACAGGAUUAGAACCGUACCGU